rnacentral:rRNA from 1 species
AUUGAACGCUGGCGGCAGGCCUAACACAUGCAAGUCGAGCGGAUGAAGGGAGCUUGCUCCUGGAUUCAGCGGCGGACGGGUGAGUAAUGCCUAGGAAUCUGCCUGGUAGUGGGGGAUAACGUCCGGAAACGGGCGCUAAUACCGCAUACGUCCUGCGGGAGAAAGUGGGGGAUCGUCGGACCUCACGCUAUCAGAUGAGCCUAGGUCGGAUUAGCUAGUUGGUGGGGUAAAGGCCUACCAAGGCGACGAUCCGUAAAUGGUCUGAGAGGAUGAUCAGUCACACUGGAACUGAGACACGGUCCAGACUCCUACGGGAGGCCGCAGUGGGGAAUAUUGGACAGUGGGCGAAAGUCUGAUACAGCCAUGCCGCGUGUGUGAAGAAGGUCUUCGGAUUGUAAAGCACUUUAAGUUGGGAGGAAGGGCAGUAAGUUAAUACCUUGCUGUUUUGACGUUACCAACAGAAUAAGCACCGGCUAACUUCGUG